UUUGAUUUCCUUGGCGGGCGGAAGCGGCCAGAAUCAGACGAUUCCAAAGCUUACCAGGGGCUCUGGGCGCUCGCUGCUUCGCUCGGGACGGCUGGCCGCCUCCUGUGUGCUUCUACCCGGCCCCGCCCCCCGGCUCUCCACCCCUCUGCCCCUCAGGUUCCUUUUAUAAUUUUGUAGAAACUUCCAGGAGGACUAUGAAAGAUUAUGAUGAACUUCUCAAAUACUAUGAAUUAUAUGAAACUGUUGGGACAGGUGGCUUUGCAAAGGUCAAACUUGCUUGCCAUAUCCUCACUGGAGAAAUGGUAGCUAUAAAAAUCAUGGAUAAAAAUGCACUAGGGAGUGAUUUGCCCCGGAUCAAAACGGAGAUUGAGGCCUUGAAGAACUUGAGACAUCAGCAUAUAUGUCAACUCUACCAUGUGCUGGAGACAGCCAACAAAAUAUUCAUGGUUCUUGAGUAUUGCCCCGGAGGAGAGCUGUUUGACUACAUAAUUUCCCAGGAUCGCCUAUCCGAGGAGGAGACCCGAGUUGUCUUCCGUCAGAUAGUAUCUGCAGUUGCUUAUGUGCACAGCCAGGGUUAUGCUCACAGGGACCUCAAACCGGAAAAUUUGUUGUUUGAUGAAUAUCAUAAAUUAAAACUGAUUGACUUUGGUCUCUGUGCAAAACCGAAGGGUAACAAGGAUUACCAUCUUCAGACAUGUUGUGGGAGUCUUGCUUAUGCAGCACCUGAAUUAAUACAAGGCAAAUCAUACCUGGGAUCGGAGGCAGAUGUUUGGAGUAUGGGCAUACUCUUAUAUGUACUUAUGUGUGGCUUUCUACCAUUCGAUGAUGAUAAUGUCAUGGCUUUGUACAAGAAGAUUACGCGAGGGAAAUAUGAGGUUCCUAAGUGGCUCUCUUCUAGUAGCGUUCUGCUUCUUCAACAGAUGCUACAGGUGGACCCAAAGAAACGGAUUUCUGUGAAAAAUCUAUUGAGCCAUCCCUGGAUCAUGCAUGAUUACAACUGUCCUGUUGAGUGGCAAAGCAAGAAUUCUCUUAUUCACCUUGAUGAAGAUUGUGUAACAGAACUAGCUGUACAUCACAGAAAUAACAGGCAAACAAUGGAGGAUUUAAUUUCAUUGUGGCAGUAUGAUCACCUCACAGCUACCUAUCUUCUGCUGCUAGCCAGGAAGGCUCGGGGAAAACCAGUUCGUUUAAGGCUUCCUUCUUUUUCCUGUGGACCAGCCAGUGAUACCCCGUUCACAAACACCAAGUCAAAGAAUCUGAGUCUAGAAGAUAUGACAACAAGUGAUGAAAAUGAUGUGGCUGGAUUGAUAGACUAUGACUGGUGUGGAGACAGUUCAUCAAUAGGUGUGACCACCCCACAAACACCACAGUUUGCCAAGCAUUGGACAGAAUCAAAUGGUCUGGAAUCUAAAUCAUUAACUCCAGUAUUAUGCAGAGCAUCUGCCAAUAAAUUAAAGAACAAAGAGAAUGUAUAUACGCCUAAGUCUGCUGUAAAGAAUGAUGAGUGCUUUGUAUUUCCUGAGCCUAAGACUCCAGUUAAUAAGAACCAGCAUAAGAGAGAAAUACUCUCCACACCAAAUCAUUACACUACACCCUCAAAAGCCAGAAACCAGUGUCUGAAAGAAACUCCAGUUAAAAUGCCAAUAAAUUCAGCAGGAACAGAGAAGUUAAUGACAGGUGUCAUUAGCCCUGAGAGGCGAUGUCGCUCAGUGGAACUGGAUCUCAACCAAGCACACGUAGAGGAUACUCCAAAAAGAAAAGGAACCAAAGUGUUUGGGAGCCUUGAAAGGGGGUUGGAUAAGGUUAUCACUGUGCUUACCAGGAGCAGAAGGAAGGGCUCUGCCAAAGAUGGGCCAAGAAGACUAAAGGUGAGGACGAUGUUUAAAUUUACUUGAAGGUCCUAUGAAGGGGAUGAAAAAUAAAUAACAGAGUGGGAACUUACCUACUAGAAAGAGAACAUGCUAACUCAAGCCCAAUGAGCCCUACUUGCUGCUCACCUCACCGCCAUGUGGCCUGCGCUUCUAGAAAAUCUCCCUAAACCCGGCUUUUCCUGGAUGUCUUCUUGACAGAACUCUGGGAGGCAGGAGCCUUCAGGAUGAGGCAUCGCAAAGAUGGCUCGUACCCAGACCGGUGACCUCCAACAGAGACACGCCAGGAAGGUGGAAGGGGCCGUGCGGCAGGAUCAUGUUCUGGACUGGAAAGUACGUCUGCUCAUUACCUGACCUUUGCUAAGUACACCAACUAAUGGAGCGAGAGACGUGAAAGAUCUUCACAGGCCAUGUGGAAAUGUAAUUCAAACCCAGCUCGAGGAGGUCACCUGCAAAGACCUAAAAAUGAAUGAAAUACCGUUUUACACCUUGGAGGCCCCCAGUCCAGUCACUCUCAGAGGAACCUUUUCAAUGUUGCCAAAUGGACGUCCAUUCAGCUCCUCUUUCAGCCCACCUCCUCCCGGGACAGCUUAAUCUCUCUGUGGAAAAGGAGGAAAACGACAAACACGCCAACCUCCGAACCUGUUUGCGCAUCUGGGGAAGAUAGAGGCCCCUCUUCCAGGGCUGUGGCAGCUACACCUGGCGAGCUGACACAUCCUAACUGCUCAGCAAAGGUGAUGAUGACUGUUACCACAUCCUGUGCCUGCUUGUCAUUCCUGGGUGUCCCACAGCACCUCACAGACACCACUUGCUCGUGCAACCAUUGUCCUGAUAUGGUUUGCCUCCUCACUACCAGAGGGGGAGCUCCAUGAGGGCAGGGUUCAUAUUCCAUUCAUCUCUGUCCCCAGCCCCGGUGCCCAGACCAGACCCUGGCAUGGAGCAGAAAUCAAGGAGCAUUUAUUGGCUGGAGGAAGGAGAAAACAACGGGCAGUUCAUUUUAAAAAUACAGACCCUGAUGGUUCCCAGAAAUUCCAGUUGAUUCACAGUUUUUGACUGGAAUUGUAGUUUUCCCUGGAUUCAACAUUCAGCUGAACCCAAGGAGUGCCAAGCCCCACCAAAGAUGGUCAUCACACACCACAUGACACAGCCUCCAGCUGACAGCCUUCAGAUGUCCCCUCACCAGGGAGAGGCUCUUUGGGGCAGGGUUCCAGUAAGGCGUUGUAAAGGUGACAAGUAACUAUAGUGCCCCACAACCCAUAAGGCUUAUCCAUAUUUUUGUCUGGUUUCCUUUCCCCUUCUUCAGUAAACACAGGCACAGGUCACCAAAUCUUCAGGCCAUACAAGGAGUGAAAUUCCAGUCUUCGUUUCUUGAAAAUACCUCCAAACUUCCAAGGGAUGCUCUUGGAGAUAGGAAGCAGCAGUUCUGCCCCAGGACACCUGAACCUGCAUUUUGCCCAAGCUGGCCACCUGUUUCUGUCUCAGUCUUCUUAUAUUUGUACUGGAGGGAUGAAGGUAGGAGGAUGUUACUGACAGUCAUUCUUUAAAUUGUCAUCUCUCAGGUAGCACUGUAGAAGGUGACUGGACCCAACUGGUAGAGGCUCCAAGAACUUUGGGUUUCAAUUUUGGGUCUUGGCUGUGCAAUGUGGGGACAACAGGAAAAAUUCUGCGAAGUCUCAGCACCUGAUAAACAGUGCUUAAUAAGUGCUAAUGGGUAUUACUGAUCAGAGCUCAACUCGAAGAGUCUUGCAUUGGGAAGCAGGGCGGACCAGGAGUCAGAGUGGACCAGGAGCAAAGCUGCAGAUGACAAGCGGUGGGACUCCUUCAGUACCUGCAGGCCAGGAAUACACUUGUUCUCCAAACCUGGUGUCAGUUGGAGUCCAGGCGAGGGUAGGGCAAAGGUGAGGAGCGGAGAGGGCAGGACAUAUUCAUGCCAUUCUUUUGCUUCAGGCUGUUCGUCCUUCACUGCCUCAGAGGUGGCAGGAAAGAGCUGAGUGAAGCUGAGAUUGAAAGGCUCUGGAAUUCGUGGCGUCACGAAGAUACAGCCUGGCUAACUAUCCCCAGACCCAUUUCCUCUUUUUCUUCAGCACACAGGUAGACUACAUUUCUCAGCCUCUCUUGCAGUUGGGCCUGGCCACAAGACAGAGUUGUGGCCAAUAGCAUGUGAGUGAAGAUGUCUCCCAUUUCCAGCCCUGCCCGUGGAAAUCUUCCAAGGCAUGAUACUCCAGAUGCUUAUCUUUUUUGCAGCCUUGAUGCAGACAAACAACUUUGGAGGCUACACAUAAAGGUGGCAGAGCCAAAAGAUACAAGGGACCUCGAUCUCUGAGUCACUUUGUGGAAGGCUGCCUCCCUACCAGGAACACCCACAUUUAACCGUCAUGUGAGUGAAAGGUGUAUGCUUUUGUGUGGCGACAUUUCAGUUAUAGGGUAUGUUUGUUGCAUCAGCUGGCACUGCCUUAUCGGACACACGAGUUCACAGAGCAAAUGAGAAAAUUAGCUUGCAUCCACACUGUCCACACUGUAAGAAUUUCUACGAGUUUCGGGAAUGUAUCUGCCAUGCUCUACAAAGUAUGCACAAUGUUUUAAUUCCACUUCACAGAAAGGUUUUCUUUCCAAACCCUCUUCAGGGGCCUUCCCUAUUAAAAAGUCCCAUUUAUAGAAACUACUACUUAGCAUUUUUGGAACUUGUUAUCCUAUUCAGCAGAGUCUAAGUCAGGAGGCUUUGAACUCGGACAAUUACUGCUCUUGAUUAACAACAAGAACUGAUGAGUUGGCCUUUCCAGUGUGCUAAGCAAACUCAGCCAAGCAGAAAAUAUCACUGAAGGGGAAACAAUGGGAAGUGAUUUUCUUGGUUACAUUAUGAGCCGUCGUGAUAUUUACACAUGUUUGUGGAUAAUGUGGGAAACUCUGCUGCUUGCGUGCCCUUGCAGAUGACACUGUUGGGCUUGAAACACCAUGUUUCCCACUUGAUCUGGGCUGCAGAUGUCAUCCUGCAGGCAGCCAGCCUAGUGGAAAAACCACAGACCUGGGAGUGGGCAGGUGUGGGUGCAGGAUACCUGAACCGCGUCUUUCGAGCACCUGUUCCUCCAGGUGUCCCUGGGGCCAGCACCCAGGCCUAGAGCCUCAUAUUGUCAGACAGCCCAGUGGCAGCAUAAGUGUCCAUUUCUUUAUACCCUUGACACAACUGGGUAUUUUAAUUUUUUUAAAUGUUUGUUUAUUUUUGAGAGAGACAGACAGACAGAAUGUGAGUGGGGGAGGAGCAGAGAGAGGGAGACACAGAAUCCAAAGCAAGCUCCAGGCUCUGAGCUGUCAGCACAGAGCCUGAUGCGGGGCUUGAACCCGUCAAUUUCGAGAUCAUGACCUGAGCCGAAGUCAGACUCCCAACCUACUGAGCCACCCAGGCACCUCAACAGAACUGGGUAUUUUAAAAGAGAUCUUUGUGAAGUUGAGUCAUGUUGCUUUUAAUCCCAGAUUGCACAUUUACUUAUAUUUAAUAUGUCUGCAUUUGUGAGUGAUCUAUGUAAGUCCUUUAUCCAUUUCUUCUUUGGGGAUAGUAGUAGUUUUCAUAUCAUUGCAUACAAAAUUUUCAUUUAUUAAGGGCAUUGCACCUCUUCAUGUUACUUAGGUUUAUUUUUCCAAGUUAUUUGUCCUUUUUUUGUUCAUUUUUUGUGCAUUUAAAGUUAAAAAAAUUAAGUAGCCAAAAUUCUAUUUUUUCCAUCUUUUUAAGCUUCCAAAGUCGCAUUUCAUAAGGAAGUUUGAGGUAUAUUCAUCUAUAAACCCUACUAGAUUUAUUUUAAAUAUUUAAAACGUAACUGGUUAGGGACCCCUGGCUGGCUCAGUCAGUAGGGUAUGCGACUCUUGAUCUCAGAGUCGUGAGUUUCAAGUCUAUUUAAAGAAAAAAAAAAGUAACCCUUCAAUCCACCAGGGGCUUAUUUGAGUGGAAGAUGUGAAGUAAAGAUCUUCCUAGGGCUUCAGUAGGUUCCUUGAUAGUUCAUUUCUGCAUUCUACCUUUGUCUCAGUCUGCUCCAAGUCCUAUAACAAAAAUACUACAGAUUAUGUGGCUUAAGCAACAAACAUUUAUUUCUUGCAGUGUGGGAGGCUGGGGAUCCAAGAUCAAGGCAUCAGCAGAUUUGGUAUCUGGUGAGGGCCUCUUUCCUAUGUCCAUAAAUGGUGGGAGGGAUGAGGGAACUCUCCAGAGUCUCUUUAAAAGAGCACUAAUCCCAUUCAUGAGGGCUCCACCCUCAUGACCUAAUGACCUCCAAAAGUUCUCUUCUAAUACCAUCAUACUGGGGAUUAAGUUUCAAUAUAGGAAUUUUGCCUGGACACAAACAUUCAGUCUGCAGCAACCCUCCUCCUGAGUUUGGUAGUGAGCCUGGCUCAAAGAAGCUUCCGCCUAGAGUUUAACCUUUGGAUGUAAAAAUCUGGCUUCCUUACAAGUGAGGAAAGAGGUUGGCAAACUCACACUGGUCAUUUAGAAAAAAAUUUUGCACAGCACAUGUAUUCCUCACAUCUUCAAAAUAAAUGUUAUGAGAUUUAUACCCAUUGUGCGGAAGAAAAAAACCAAGGCUCCUAGAAGUGAGGAGACUGCUCAUACCAGCAAACUGACUCCCAAGAUCUAGAGCUGAGACCCAGCCCAGGCACUUAGGAGCCUUUAUCCUUCUGCCUUUUUCACAGCCCUGAUGCAGCCUGAUCCCUCCACGGAUCACCUCUUUACCCAGCAUCUAGCAUGGUGGGAGCUUGGGGAACGAAUGGGCCUAAGGCUUAAGUCUCACAUGGCAGAUCAGCCAUCCCCCUCUCCUCCUCUUUGUGAUGGUCACUGAGGCUGCUGAAGGCUGCCUGAGCGUACUCAAGGUUGGCAUUUCCACCCUCCUAACUGGAGGCCUCGCCGUGGCCUCCUUUCUGCCGUCACGUGGGGACUGCACGUGCCCGGGUUACUGCAUAUGCUGGUGUCCCAUAGCUGAGGAGGGCAGGCUUGAGGCCCCUCUGUCCCAGGGGAGCCAGGAACGAGGGCCAUGGCAUCAGAGACAGAGGGGCCUGCUCUGAAAGGGUCCAAGUUUCAGUUCCAAAAUGCUGCCACUUGCCUUUGAAGCUCGAGCCCCUAUGCCUCGAGCGCUGGGAAGAAAGGAGCUGGGCCAGUGCUCCGCUGCACCAGCAUCCUUCUCUCUCCCUCAGGAAUCACCUUCGUCACCAUCCAUUGCCAAAAUGAAUGGAAGCUGCACAGCCGGCUUUAUUAAAUAUGAAUGAGUCACAGCCCACGGCCCCCACGCGGUCACUCACCCACUCCAUCUCUGGCAAUUACCGCGUCGCACACACUGUGCCAAGGGGCGCCGCGGUCCCUGCCUGCCCUUGCAGACUGACACCGCCCAGCAGGGGCAGGGCUCAGGUCUGCAGCUGCCCCUGAUGGAAAGCCACUGCUGGGCUCCUAUGCAGUCCAAAUGCUCCGCUCUGAAGCUAUAGGGACAGGGCACCUUCCGCAGAAGGAUCGUGGACGCUUGGGCUCUGAGGUCUGGCUGGGGAUAGCCUGUGACUUUGGAGCCCAAGGUCUCCUGGCAUGACGGACUCCUAAGCUCUGUCUGCAUGUCAAGGGUGUGUGGGUAACAGAUAUUUUAGAUUUCAGGCAGUUUUAAGAGCCAGCCUGGAUCAAGGUUAAGAGCAUGUGUGCAAGGGCACACGGUCACCGAGCACACAUGCAGUGUGUGUUCACGUUCCCCGCACAGGAGCCCAGUAGAUGGUUGAGUUUCAUGUCACUGGGGUCCUUGUUAACCCCGUCCGCUGCUGUGUCCUCAGUGUUUGUUGAAUGAAUAAAUGAGGCAGAUGUUACCGACCAUUUUGGAGCUACUGAAGUUGAGUUACGGAACUCACCAAGGUUCCACGGCUGUGGAAUAUCAGAGCUAGGUGUCAAAUCCGGGGUUGGUCUCCACCCUGCCAAGUGGCUGGCGGCUUGCCUGGGAACCCCUGCCCUGCCCAGGCCACGGUCCGAUGCCUCAACACAGCACUCUAGUUGCAUAGAUUUCUUUGACCCUGGUUUCAUCAGGAGAGCCAGUAAAGUUCCCCACAGCCCCAUGUGGCUUCGUCAAAGGUUAAAAACAAAUGCAAGUUGUACAAAGUUGUAAAAACAAAUGAGAUACAAUUCUUUUCCUGAACUUAAAAAAUUACUUUUAUUUUAGGAACCAAUAAAAUUAUGGCAAAUAUUUACAAAUAAUUAUCUCACAUAAAGGUUACAUAAAAUCAAUCCUUCACAAGUAACAGUCACUCAUGAAAAGACACACAGAUAUUGAAACUACGCCAAUCUUAUUGCAAGUUUCUCCAACUAAUCUAAAAGAAAAGUGUUGCAGUCAACCAUUUAACUUAGAAUGAAACCACAAAUUCCAAGUUUGACAAGAAAAAAAAAGGUAAAAAAUGAAACCAAAAUCCCACCCCUGUUUUCUCCCAAGUCCCACCCCAAGCCCCUGCCCUCCUCCCAACAAAAGAAAAAUAUGUCCAACAUCUUUGGCAAAUCGGCACUGCUGUAAUUACAUUCAAAUAUUAUUACACACAAAAGCAACACACGUCACUAAGAAAAAAAAAAACCACCAAUAUUUCAAGUCAGGUAUUUCUACUAGAAAAAAAGAAUA